rnacentral:rRNA from 1 species
GACGAACGCUGGCGGCGUGCCUAACACAUGCAAGUCAACUUGAGGGAAGGAGCAAUCUGACCUGAUGGUGGCGCAAAGGGUGCGUAACGCGUAAGUAACUUGCCCAAGGUAAGGAAUAACGUCGAGAAAUCGGCGCUAAUACCUCAUAAUGCAGCGGAUCCGCAUGGGAUAAUGUUUGUUAAAGGGUUUACCGCCUUGGGAUAGGCUUGCGUCUGAUUAGCUAGUUGGUGUGGUAAUGGCACACCAAGGCUACGAUCAGUAACUGGUCUGAGAGGAUGAUCAGUCACACUGGAACUGAGACACGGUCCAGACUCCUACGGGAGGCAGCAGUGAGGAAUAUUGGGCAAUGCACGAAAGUGUGACCCAGCAACGCCGACGUGGAGGAUGAAA